UUAUGAAUAGUUUAAGUAAAAAUUUUAUUUUGUGGUAAUAAAGUUGAAAUCUUCAUAUU
rnacentral:tRNA from 1 species